GCAGUGAGGAAUAUUGGUCAAUGGGCGCAAGCCUGAACCAGCCAUGCCGCGUGCAGGAUGACGCAUCUAUGGUGUGUAAACUGCUUUUGUACGGGAAGAAACCCUGCCUCGUGAGGCAGAUUGACGGUACCGUAAGAAUAAGGAUCGGCUAACUCCGUGCCAGCAGCCGCGGUAAUACGGAGGAUCCAAGCGUUAUCCGGAAUCAUUGGGUUUAAAGGGUCCGUAGGCGGUUUUAUAAGUCAGUGGUGAAAUCCGGCAGCUCAACUGUCGAACUGCCAUUGAUACUGUAGGACUUGAAUUAUUGUGAAGUAACUAGAAUAUGUAGUGUAGCGGUGAAAUGCUUAGAUAUUACAUGGAAUACCCAUUGCGAAGGCAGGUUACUAACAAUACAUUGACGCUGAUGGACGAAAGCGUGGGGAGCGAACAGGAUUAGA
rnacentral:rRNA from 1 species